rnacentral:rRNA from 1 species
GACAGAGGAUGCAAGCGUUAUCCGGAAUGAUUGGGCGUAAAGCGUCUGUAGGUGGCUUUUCAAGUCCGCCGUCAAAUCCUAGGGCUCAACCUUGGACAGGCGGUGGAAACUACCAAGCUGGAGUACGGUAGGGGCAGAGGGAAUUUCCGGUGGAGCGGUGAAAUGCAUUGAGAUCGGAAAGAAUACCAACGGCGAAACCACUCUACUGGGCCGACACUGACACUGAGAGACGAAAGCUAGGGGAGCAAAUGGG